CAAAGGCUUGGUCCUGACUUUACUGUCGACUUUAACUAAACUUACACAUGCAAGUAUCCGCCCCCCUGUGAGAAUGCCCACAACUCCCUGCUUGGGAACUAGGAGCCGGUAUCAGGCACAAGCCCAGCUAGCCCACGACGCCUUGCUUAGCCACACCCUCAAGGGACCUCAGCAGUGAUAAAUAUUAAGCCAUAAGUGAAAACUUGACUUAGUUAAGGUUAAGAGGGCCGGUAAAACUCGUGCCAGCCACCGCGGUUAUACGAGAGGCCCAAGUUGACAAACAACGGCGUAAAGAGUGGUUAGGGAAUUUACUAAACUAGAGCCGAACGCUUUCAAAGCUGUUAUACGCACCCGAAAGUAUGAAACCCAAUUACGAAAGUAGCUCUACCUAUCCUGAACCCACGAAAGCUAAGGAACAAACUGGGAUUAGAUACCCCACUAUG
rnacentral:rRNA from 1 species